GUGAAUCAUCGAAUUUUUGAACGCAUAUUGCACUCUCUGGUAUUCCGGAGAGUAUGCCUAUUUGAGGGUCAUUUGAAAUAACAUAAAUUUCGAGAUUUUCUAGGAAUCAAAAAUGGGUCGGUUCAGCUUUUGUGUGGUGGUCGCCUAAAAUGCAAGACAAGCUCAUUCCUUGGGUUGGGUGAUACUUUCAGUUAAAUUGUGACUUCACAAUGAGUCUUCGUGUGUGAUAAGAAUUAUGCAUGUGAUAAUCUUGAUUUAUAUCGAGCUAAAUAUUAAAUUGAAUUAUGACCU
rnacentral:misc_RNA from 1 species